UCCGGCUUGACGCCGGCAGUCCCCCGAGAGUCCUCAGCAUGACCUGUUAGUAACACGGGGCAAGGGUUGCGCUCGUUGCGGGACUUAACCCAACAUCUCACGACACGAGCUGACGACAGUCAUGCAGCACCUGUGCUGGUGUUCCGAAGAAGGGCCCGACUUUCGUCAGGCUUUCACCAGCAUGUCAAACCUAGGUAAGGUGGGGAUGACGUAAGCCUAUCGAGA
rnacentral:misc_RNA from 1 species